rnacentral:misc_RNA from 1 species
AAGUCGUAACAAGGUUUCCGUAGGUGAACCUGCGGAAGGAUCAUUAACACUUGCCAGGUCUUUUGACCAUGGCCCGCCUCCUUUCAUGAGCUCAUGAUAAAGUACUCUCUCCGCGAGAUGUCUUUGUUGAGAGUUUAUGUUUGUGUGCGGAAGCUGGAAUCUCUUGUGUCUUCAAACACAUGAGGUCCGUAGUCCUGGUGACAACCAAAGUAACCUGGGGUACUUUAGAGUGGAGGCACGCAUGUGUCUUUGCUUUAGAGCCCUUCUAAUAAUCCUUUAAUUUUUUUACCAUAUUACCCCAUUAUAAACUAAUAAGACUGAUAUGACAUGAUUUAAUGUCACAAUUAAAUCUUGAAAACAACUCUUAACAAUGGAUAUCUAGGUUCUG